UACGAAGGGGGCUAGCGUUGUUCGGAAUUACUGGGCGUAAAGCGCGCGCAGGCGGUUCUUCAAGUCAGAGGUGAAAGCCCAGAGCUCAACUCUGGAACUGCCUUUGAUACUGUCGAUCUGGAGUAUGGAAGAGGUGAGUGGAAUUCCGAGUGUAGAGGUGAAAUUCGUAGAUAUUCGGAGGAACACCAGUGGCGAAGGCGGCUCACUGGUCCAUUACUGACGCUGAGGUGCGAAAGCGUGGGGAGCAAACAGG
rnacentral:rRNA from 1 species